rnacentral:rRNA from 1 species
UGCCCAUAUAACACUUGGAAACAGGUGCUAACACCGUAUAACACUAUUUUCCGCAUGGAAGAAAGUUGAAAGGCGCUUUUGCGUCACUGAUGGAUGGACCCGCGGUGCAUUAGCUAGUUGGUGAGGUAACGGCUCACCAAGGCCACGAUGCAUAGCCGACCUGAGAGGGUGAUCGGCCACACUGGGACUGAGACACGGCCCAGACUCCUACGGGAGGCAGCAGUAGGGAAUCUUCGGCAAUGGACGAAAGUCUGACCGAGCAACGCCGCGUGAGUGAAGAAGGUUUUCGGAUCGUAAAACUCUGUUGUUAGAGAAGAACAAGGAUGAGAGUAGAACGUUCAUCCCUUGACGGUAUCUAACCAGAAAGCCACGGCUAACUACGUGCCAGCAGCCGCGGUAAUACGUAGGUGGCAAGCGUUGUCCGGAUUUAUUGGGCGUAAAGCGAGCGCAGGCGGUUUCUUAAGUCUGAUGUGAAAGCCCCCGGCUCAACCGGGGAGGGUCAUUGGAAACUGGGAGACUUGAGUGCAGAAGAGGAGAGUGGAAUUCCAUGUGUAGCGGUGAAAUGCGUAGAUAUAUGGAGGAACACCAGUGGCGAAGGCGGCUCUCUGGUCUGUAACUGACGCUGAGGCUCGAAAGCGUGGGGAGCGAACAGGAUUAGAUACCCUGGUAGUCCACGCCGUAAACGAUGAGUGCUAAGUG